rfam:Candidate divison MSBL1 archaeon SCGC-AAA259A05 AAA259A05_Contig_5, whole genome shotgun sequence.
GAGUCCGACACGUCAAGCCAUCUAGUGGACGGUUUGGCUCGGGCGCCGACGAAGGUCGUGGCAAGCUGCGAUAAGCCUGGGCGAGGUGCAUGCAGCCCUUGAACCCGGGAUUGCCUAAUGGGACAUCCUGUCAUGGAAAACCCAUGGCGCUCGCGUCAGUGAGCGGGAACCCCGCGAAAUGAAACAUCUUAGUAACGGGAGGAAGAGAAAGCAAACCGCGAUGCCCUUAGUAACGGCGAGUGAAAAGGGUGAAGGGCAAACCGAACCCGAUCGGGAAACCGAUUGGGAAUGUGGAGUUGCAGGACUCGAUCGCCUCCUUCUCGAGGAAGCUGAAGCCGCUGGAAUGCGACGCCAGAGAGGGUGAAAGCCCCGUAAGCGUGACUUGAAAGGUGUUGGAUUGGGUAUCCUGAGUACCGUGCAUUGGAUAUUGCGCGGAAAGCUGGGAGUAGUAACUCCCAACCCUAAAUACGUCCCGAGACCGAUAGCGAACGCAGUACCAUGAGGGAAAACUGAAAAGCAUCCCGAAAGGGAGAUGAAAAGAGCCCGAAACCAGAUGGCGAUAGAGGGGUGUAGCCUUAAAGAAAGGAGCCUUCUCGAAGGAAUCCGUGGCGACGCGGUAGUACGAGGGAAGGGGAUCAGGGUUGCGCCUACCGUUUGGAAAUACGGGCCAGGGAGUUGAUUUCCGUGGCGAGGUUAAGGAGUCCACCUCCGGAGCCCCAGCGAAAGCGACAUGCCCGCAGUCUUGCUUCGUGCGAGAUUAGGGGCGGGGUGUGAAAGCGCCCGGAGUCACGGGAAUCAGACCCGAAACCAGGCGAUCUAGCCCUGGACAGGGUGAAGCCGAUCUUCGGAUUGGUGGAGGCCCGCACCGGUCCUGCCGUGCAAUGUGGUCGGAUGAUCUAGGGCUAGGGGUGAAAGGCCCAUCUAGCCUGGCGACAGCUGGUUCCUCUCGAAAAUGGUCGCAGCCACACCCGGCGCGAGAUGGAUGUUGGUGUAGAGCACUGAUUGGUAAGUUUGGAGGGAGACCUCCGGCUUGCCUGUCAAACUCCGAAGCUGAUAUCGUCUUAGACCGCCGGAGCCAGGGCGCAGGGGGUAAGCUCCUGCUCCGAAAGGGGAACAACUCAGACCGGGGUUAAGGCCCCUAAAUGCCGGCUAAGUGUUAAGCUUAAAGGGAGUCUCCGCUCUGAGACAGCGGGGAGAUAGGCUUAGAAGCAGCCAUUCUUUAAACAUCGCGUAACAGCGAACCCGUUAAGGGUAGAGGCCCCGAAAAUGGACGGGACUAAGCCGGCUGCCGAUACCUCGGGACAGGUGAAGAAAAGUAGCCUGAUUCUGUAGAGAGGCAUCCGGCGAGGGUGGAAGUACGGCUGUGAGGUCGUACGGACCUCGUUGGAAAGAGAAUCCUGGCAGUAGUAGCAGCAAAGUAGGGUAAGAAUCCCUACCGCCGGAGGGGCACGGGUUCCUCAUCAAUGUUCGUCAGCUGAGGGUCAGCCGGUCCUAAGCUCUUCCUUAACACGAGGAGAGCGAAGGGGAAACGGGUUAAUAUUCCCGUGCCACCCGAGUACCUGCCGUAAGGCUAGGCUUGAACUCCGACGCUUUGGGAUACGCCGAGUAGGGCUUCGCCCUAUUUAACCGGUAAAGUCCGGGGAGAGCCGUAACGGCGAGAACCGGAUGAAGCUGGGAAUAUCCUGUCAAGUUAUAGGUUCGGCGGAUUCUUGGAGCCCGUGAAAAGGAGAUCAAGAAUUGGAAUCUCGGGUGUCCGUACCUAGAACCAACACAGGUGUCCCUAGGUGAGUAGCCUAAGGCGUGUCGGGGGAUCCCAGGCCAGGGAAAUCGGCAAAUUGGCCCCGUACCUUUGGUAGAAGGGGUGCCUGCCCUGCGAAAGGGCAGGUUGCAGUGACCAGGGGGGUCCGACUGUUUAAUAAAAACAUAGCCAACCGCGAGUCCGAAAGGAUGAGUACGGUUGGUGAAUCCUGCCCAGUAGCGGCUUGUCAAGCAGGGUUACAACCCUGUGAAGCGCCGCUAGACGGCGGGGGUAACUAUAACCCUCUUAAGGUAACGAAGUGCCUUGCCGCUGAAUUGGCGGCUUGCAUGAACGGAUCAACGAGACCCCCACUGUCCCGGCCCGGGUCCCGGUGAACCUACGGUCUGGCGCAGAGUCCAGAUACUCCCGUAGGGAAGCGAAGACCCCGUGGAGCUUAACUGCAGGCUGCCGUUGGAGUUUGGUGGACGAUGUAAAGUGUAGGCGGGAGCCGUCGAAGCCAAGCCGCCAGGCUUGGUGAAGGCGUCCAUGUAACACCGCCCACCGUCGACCGAGUUCCUAACUACUUCGGUAGAACAGUGGCAGUUGGGCAGUUUCGCUGGGGCGGCAGCCCCUCGAAAAAUUAUCGAGGGGGUCCAAGGGUCGGCUUAGGCGGGUCAGAAGUCCGCCGUAAAGGACAAGGCCAGAAGCCGGCCUAACUGUGUCCUUGUCACAGGAGGACGCAGGGACAAAAGUCAGGCCUAGCGAACCCCGACGUUCCUCUUACUGAGGACUCGGGAUGACAGAAAAGCUACCCCGGGGAUAACAGAGUUGUCUCCCCCAAGAGCCCGUAUCGACGGGGAGGCUUGCUACCUCGAUGUCGGUUCUUCGCAUCCUGGCCGUGCAGCAGCGGCCAAGGGUAGGGUUGUUCGCCCGUUAAAGCGGAUCGUGAGCUGGGUUUAGACCGUCGUGAGACAGGUCGGACGCUAUCUUGCGGGAGUGUCGGAUGCCUGAGGGUAAGGUAGCUUCAGUACGAGAGGAACGAGCUGCCGGCGCCUCUAGUGUACCGGUUGUCCGAAGGGGCAGUGCCGGGUAGCCACGCGCCGGUCGAUAAGGGCUGAAAGCAUCUAAGCCUGAAGCGAUUCCCGAAAAUAGGCAUCCAAUCUUGGCCAAAAUUCCGGGACUGGUGACAGUCUCGGAGCGCCAGGACAAAGGCAGGGGCUAGAAGACCCCGUUGAUGGACCGGGGGUGUAAGCGCGAAGCUUCGGCGACGCGUUCAGCCCACCGGCACCAAUAGCCUGAGGUGUCGUACUC